CGGGUAGUAGAGGAGUUAGGUUUAUCUCGCCUCAUUUGGGAUGAGGAGUACGUAGGUUCGAAUCCUACCUAUCCGA
rnacentral:tRNA from 1 species